rnacentral:lncRNA from 1 species
GGGACACAUAAUUAGAAGACUAAAUAUGUUAUAAAUACCAUUUACAAUAACUCUGAAGAUUAUCAAACUCCCAAGUAAAAUUUCAAAGAAAUUUGCAAUUUGCAAUUUCUUUACAUGGCAAACAAUAAAAAAUUAUUGAUAGGAAUUAAUGAAGACAUGAAUAACUGGAAUGGUAUCCGAAGUUUAUUAACAGAAGAUUCUUUUUUUCAGGUGAUCAACUUUUCCACUUUGAAGCACAUGUGUGAACCCAAGUCAAGUCCCAGCAUAUCCAAUACUUUAGUAUGUUCUAUAAAGGCAUAAAUAAAAAAUUGGGCUAAGGGGGAGAAUGAAUACGAAGUUAGAUUCCAGUUCAAACAAAAGAAGGAAAAACCUACUGUUGAAUGUUAAGAACAGUUCUGAAAAUUGUGGCUUCCUGCCCCAAAAGUUCAAGUAGAAUCUGUAGAGUACCCUGGGUGAAGAUACUCUACGGGGAAAUUAAAGUGAUUUUGACAACACCUAAGUGGUCCUCUGCACUUGGCCAUGAUCCUAUCAUACAGUUACAACAUAAAGGCAGUCUUCUGAGAAUAACAAUCCUUCAUAAGGUCACUCAAAGCAUGGCAUGAAUGGAGAAGAGUGCCAUACACUAACUGAGCAGUGACAUGAAAUUAGCAAAAGAAAAUACAGCUGUGUAAACCACUAUUCAGGUGAAGAAUAAAACACUCAGACUUCCAGAAGAAUAAAGAAGG